GACACCCUCCCCCUACGCUUGUAUCACAAAAAUGAUUAAUCCUAGUUGUACCGUAAUCUGGGGUGAAUCGGGACUACAGUCUGAAUAGGGACAGCAGUUUUUAGAGCACUUAAAGCUUUUAAAUUUGGAAAUGGAUGUACACAUUUUGUUGGCCUGAGUCUGUUCUAACCGAAACCAACCAGAAAAAUCAAAAUAUUGUGCUCUAACAUGGUAAAAACUGCUGUCCCAAUUCGCCCCAUGUGUCCCGAUUGACCCCAGUUUACGGCACUGAAAAAAAUCCAUACGUGUGUAAAAGUGAACUGCAGAAUGUGUAAUUCUGAUUCCCAGUGCGUGACCCCGUUCCUAACUCCGACAGUUAUCAAACCAGUCUACCAAACAUACCUGGUCAUUGAAAUUGAACUUAACUGUCAAAAUGUUCAAAAGAACGAAAGAACCAAAACAAAAGAACAAAGCGGCGUUCAGCACGGACACUCUGGGUUUCGCAUCCAACCCCGUCGCGUUAAAACAUCCAACAGGACAAGAUUACGCAAAUCACGGAUGGCCCCGGUGCUGCACCUGAUAAUAUUAGCCACGCAGUUCCUUGAUCCCGACUGCGGCAAGCGGCAGACGUUCAAAUUCCUGCUUGAAUGUAUCAAAUCGAGUUGGCAUCGGGUGCUCCGAUGCCUCUUCACAUGCUGGACGUUCUGGAGGCGUCUUCAACUACCCCGGCCCUGUAAUCCUGCGGCUAGACGGAACAACCAAGGUCGAGCAGAUAGUACUGUUGAUAAAUCGCUUCAACUGGACAAGCGAAUGUUUGUGUUGAACCGGUCGACCCGUUCCGGAGGCAUCAGUACAGAAUCCGUCGUCUUCUACGAUUCUGAAUCGAAUCCUACCAGAGACGCGCAGGCGCAGGUUCGGUGCUACAAGUUAGGGCUGUGAGAUACAUACUCGGCGAUCUGGCCAACGUGGACGGCAACUUUACGACGGCCUUCUUAAGUGGCGUGGCGCGGCUUGCCGAGGUCAUUGAACGGUUCAGUUGGUCAUCGUCGAGACUGAGACCGAGCAGCAAACGCGCGACGUAGGGGCGAAUCAAUAGGCGCAACUGAAACCCGAAAAGGAAUCGGCCGCCGAGAGCUGUUGUGUAUCCACCAAACUUGAGGACAAAUCUUCUGGAACUAUGACGCCGCAACCUGAAAUCGCAUCGCGGACGAUUGCCCUCAAGGAGUCCACUCCGUACACAGAACACGCGAGUUGUUCCAGGCUUUGUUAAAUCGCAAGGUAAGGCGAACCAUCGGAUUCGUUGUCUGGACCGGUGACGGUCGGCCCGGCCGCAGCAGCAGCAUCAAACUCAGCAACAGUUCCCGUCCAAACCGCUUCUACAACCUACGCCACAGUACACACAGUCCAUUUUUGAUUUUCGAGCUCGGCAGAAUUCUGCCGAAAACAGAACAACUGAUUUUUUUCGGCAGAAAAAUGCCGAACUUCGGCAUAUCAACUGUCAUUUUUCGCCGAGAAUUCGGUAGAAUGACUUCCAUUUUGCCGAGAUUCGGCAUAUAUUUCUGCCGAGCGAUAAGUUGUUCUGAUUUCGGCAGAAUUUUGCCGAAGUUCGGCAUAAAAAUCUAAGUGUGCACCACUAUCGCUUCCAGUUGCUAUCAUUUGGACUUCGCUGCCAUGCAUGGCCCAUGGGCGCCGACGGUGUCCAUUCCGUCGUUAACCACGCGAAGCAGAUAGGAGCAAAAUGGCUCUAACGAUUGACGGGGAGGUCACCGACGUCCGUUGGAUCAAAAGGCGCUCAAAUUUAACCUAGGAAGCAUUGCCUUGGCGUUCUCGAUAGCGAGAUUCCUAUCCUGCUUUUUAGGCGAAAAUGGCGUUCGAAUGGUGAACGCCCGAAAUGUCAAAAUCACGCAGUGGUACCAACAUUACGAAAAAAGUGUGCCAUGGCAUGACAGCCGCAUUUUUUCCUAAUGUUGGUGCUCUUGCGCGAUUUGACAUAAGCUGUCUGAUUGUCUGUGGAAGUGUUGUCGUCUCCCGGACUUCGCUGCACUUUUUGAAGAUUUCUCGCCGUUCAAACUGAGUGGAAUGUAAAGUGUACAUCAGUUUCCUGCUAUUAAGGACCCACAUCGUCGCUGCAAGUUGGAGUGCAAACGAUCGAGUGAUUUGCUGGCCUGUAAGACAAAAAUCUUUAUCGCGAACACAGAGGCAUAACAACAAACAGUGCUCCAUUGUUCGAUAUCGAGGGACAGUCCGCUGGAGCUAUCUUCGUUCUCAGCAACGCUGGUGUCAUCUAUCGGUCACUAGAGGAACUAUACACUGUUGUGCAAAAUUAAUAACUAUGAAGAGAUCCUGCCAAAAGUGUAAACAAAAUAUCGCUGCUGAUGAACCGAUCGUUAUCUGCGAAGGAUUUUGUGAAGGAAUUCAACGAUACCAUGCGAAGUGUGUCGGCCUAGCGGCGGAAGACCAGAAAUCCUGUCAUCUGCGCAAUAUCUUUUGGAUGUGCGAUGAGUGCUGCGAUCUAAUGUCGAACAACAAGUUUCGUAAUACCGUCAACGGGUUGAGAUCUGCUGAACGCAAAGCUGACUGUGAACUGGAAAGUCUGAGAAACGAAAUGUUUGAGCUGAGAGGAACUCUAUCAAGUUUUAUGGAUUCCUUUCAAAUCUCCAAACAUCUGCUGCAACGUCAUUUCCUCUAAUAUCACCAUCACGCGAAGGUUCGACAAAAGACGAUGCAGAGCCGCUCUCUUCGACUAAAAAUCUCGAGUCGUCACCCUGUGCAACGGAUAACUCGAAUGCAGAUCAACCUAUUGCGAAGCUCAGAUUGCACCUCUCAAACAUUGCCGUAGACGUCACGGAAACCGAAGUGUCUGAAAUGGUCAGCGAAACUCUUGGGAUUGAUAAAACGCUCAUGGUUAGGUGCUUGGUUCCAUCCUGGAAAGACUUUUCGUCGCUAGAAUUUAUCUCGUUCAAGAUCGAAGUUGACCCCUGUUGCAAAGCUCGUGCCCUGAACCCAUCAAGCUGGCCAGGAGGAGUGAGAUGUCGGGAGUUCAAGGAAUUUGCUAGAGAUGUUUGGCGCCCGAGAACCAGAAGCCGCUGUUAACUUUCAUGUUUGAUUUUGUAACCGAUGUAAAUUAUUGAUUUUUGCUUAGCAAUUUAUGUUUCCGAAUUAGAUUUUAAGUCCAUUUGGGCUAAAAUAGCCUGUUGGGAGAAAACAAAUAAAUAAA